CGGGCCUUAGCUCAGCUGGUAGAGCGCCUGCUUUGCAAGCAGGAUGUCAGGAGUUCGAAUCUCCUAGGCUCCA
rnacentral:tRNA from 1 species